rnacentral:lncRNA from 1 species
UGGCCACAGCCAGCCAGGAGCUUGUCAUCAACAGGGGCUGGGAGGUGCAACUCCCAGAGGUCAGCCUCCUGCAGCUGAAGCCUGGAGGAAAAUGGACUAGAGCGGGGGCAGGAGCUCAUGGAGAACAGCCAGCACAGUAAGAGCAAAAUCAACACAUCUCUGCCUUUUCCUUUUAAGGAGGAAGCCAGACAAUGGCUCUACCCAACAAAAACAAAUAUGCCACACAAAGCCAAAAAAGCAUUAUGCACAACAACACAGCAGUGAGUGCUGUGCAGGAAGAGAGCAGGGAGAGAAUUAGAAGUCGAAGAGGACCCGUGUUUUUGUUUUUGCCUGGCCCAUGGCAUGUGGAAUUUCCCAGGCCAGGGUUUUAUCCCGUGCCACAGCAGUAACCAGAGCCACAGCAGUGCCAAGGCCGGCUCCUUAACCCACUGAGCCACCAGGGAACUCCAGCGCACCUGUUUUAAGCAGACUGAUGGGAGGAUUCUGAGGAGGUGACAUCCUGCAAGGUGUGCAUUAGGUGAGGGACUGGGCACUGCUCCCCAUUCAAGGGCCUGGCAGCCUGGUUCCAGAGGGUAGUGAGAACCUCACUGGGGAAGAGUGAGGUUGACCCAGAGAAGGCAGCUCCUCAGAGCACCUGCAUAUUUGAGGGCAGAGCCAGCCCAGGCAUGUCUCCCCAUUCCCUGUGCCAUGCAGACACUGGCUCACAAAGCAGAGGGGCCACAGCCGGGUGCCUAGGAUCCCUGAAGUCAGGGGAGCCCAGAGCCCUUUUCCUCCCAACCCCCAGUUCGUCCUAGAAGACUGGCUCACAACCAUGGCAACAGAUUCCAUGUGAAGGAGGUGAAGGCAGAUUUUUGGGGCUCACUCAGCGGGAGAUGAGUGCUGGAAGAGAAGGCUGCUCUCCCCCAGUGCUAGGCGGUGACCCAGAAAAUUCUUCAGAAUCCUGUGGUUUCUCCCCAAGCCUGUGAAGAGAGUGGCAGCUGGUAGCCAGGUGGCCAAGCACCCACGCACGGCUGUGGCCUUACUCCACGCUGGCCUUGGGUGUGUGUAUGUGUGUGUGUGUGUGUGUGUGUGUGUGUGGCUGGAGUUGGCUAUAAUUGGGGAGAGUCAGAAUCUACCUCCCCCACAUACAUACACAGUCUCUCUCUCUCUCUCUCUCUCUCUCUCUCUCUCUCUCAUACACACACACAUACACACACACACACACACACACACACUCCUGGAAGCACAAGGGUCCAUGAACUCAUGCAACAGCAACGCUGAACUGAGAGCACUGGCACCUGCCAUGGGCAGCCCUCUCCUGACCUUGCCUGCUUUCUAUGGUAUCCACCUUCAAGGACAGACGGCAUGAGAGUCAGGGAAUGUUAUGGACUGAGUUGUGUCCAUCCAUGUCCAUACUUGUGACUUUAUUUGGAGACGGGGCAUAUGGGAAGGUAAAUGGAGGUUAAGUGAGGUCAUAGAUAUGACACGCUAAUCCUACAGGACUGUCUUUAAGAAGAGGAAGAGAUAGCAGAGAUUUCUCUCUCCCUGCCAGCACACGGAGGAGAAGUCACCUGAAGACACUGGGAGAAGGUGGCCAUCAACAAGCCAGGAAGAGCCCUGGCCAGGACUCGAUUUGCCAGCACCUUGAUCUUGGAUGUCUAGUCUCAGGAACUGUGAGAAAAUAAAUGUCUGUUGUUCAAGUCA